rnacentral:tRNA from 1 species
AACUAAGAAAAGGAAUUGAACCUUUGAUGGUAAAUCCUAAAUCUACCGCAGUAACCACUUUGCUAUCUUAG